ACAAACAUCACCAAUCCGCAGAACAGAACAGAACAGAAAACUAGGGUCGACCCAUACGCCUCCCACAACAAAACACCAAAUGGCCAACUCCCACCGGAGCACAAAACGGAGACGCCGUGGACUGAUCACACCGCCACGGAAGGUGUCAUGCCUCGGUGCCAAGAGGACAUGCCUGUGGUACCCCCACAGGUGGUUAUAGCUCAGGUAUACCCUACGGUAUUCUAACAAGGAUACCAUGUCACAACACAUGCGACAUAAUAUCAACAAAAGGGUUUCUAAUAUGUACAUGCUAAGCUGAAAUGAAUCAUCAACUCAAAGUCUCCAAAAAUAUUAACAUGUACUUUCUACUAGAAUCAAAAUAAAUACAAAAGAUGAUACACUAGAUCAAUAGUACGAACAUGAGUUCUAAGUAUCAAUAUCAAGACAGAACUAUCAAAAUAAAUUUACAAGGAAUAAUCAUGAGAGACAAUACUAAAUUUCGAAACGAAUAACGAAACGAACAAAUUAAAAAUAAAAGAGUUUCGCUGAAAAGUACGGAAUC
rnacentral:lncRNA from 1 species